UUUAGUAAUAUAUCAGAGUUCUCAGACAUGUAUCUCUACAAAUCUUCCCAGCAAUACUAACUUAGGCCACCCUGUUAAAUUGCAAGUUCUUCUCCAAAGAUGAAGCUCUUAAUUGGGUUUCAACUGAUGGGCACCUUGCUUUGUGGGUUUAUCUCAUCAGCAGUGUUUUCUUAUCUGGAGUGUAACAGCUCACCACCAAUGGAUGUUCAGCUACCCAUUUGUAACUAUUGCCUGUGGAUUACUGUUGGUUUAGUCCUAUGGUUUCUGGUUCAGAAUCUCUGAUUCUUGGCUUGCUGGAUAUGUUACUCUAUUGUUAUAGAAAUGUUAUCUAUUACGAAGUGCUGCUAUGAUUAAUGAAAUUCGAGUCAUUAUUACCUAUGAUAAUGCCAAUUUGAACCAUACUUCUUAGAUUGAUUAUUUGGAGAUACUGGGGUUUUUCUCUUUAAGGACUAUGUAGUCUUCUGUACACAUCUAUUUCAGUUAUUUAUAAGUAUCUUAAAAAUUCUCUUGAA